ensembl:ncRNA C06G1.7 ncRNA
AUUAAAACGGUUUUUUGAUGGUCAAAACUGUGAAGAAGUGAUAAAUGACGGCGGCCCCUAUGGUAUGAUGUCGUUAGUGAUAAGUGAAAGAAGAUGAGGGGGGGGGGGGGGGGAAAGGAAGACGUAGAUCAAUCACAAAGAGU